GUUAGGAAUAUUGGACAAUGGGCGCAAGCCUGAUCCAGCCAUGCCGCGUGAGUGAAGAAGGCCUUCGGGUUGUAAACUGCUUUUGUACGGAACGAAACGGUCCGGGUUAAUACCCUGGGCUAAUGACGGUACCGUAAGAAUAAGCACCGGCUAACUACGUGCCAGCAGCCGCGGUAAUACGUAGGGUGCAAGCGUUAAUCGGAAUUACUGGGCGUAAAGCGUGCGCAGGCGGUUAUGUAAGACAGAGGUGAAAUCCCCGGGCUCAACCUGGGAACUGCCUUUGUGACUGCAUAGCUGGAGUGCGGCAGAGGGGGAUGGAAUUCCGCGUGUAGCAGUGAAAUGCGUAGAUAUGCGGAGGAACACCGAUGGCGAAGGCAAUCCCCUGGGCCUGCACUGACGCUCAUGCACGAAAGCGUGGGGAGCAAACAGGAUUAGAAACCCGGGUAGUCC
rnacentral:rRNA from 1 species